rnacentral:rRNA from 1 species
UGGGGAAUAUUGCGCAAUGGGCGAAAGCCUGACGCAGCCAUGCCGCGUGUGUGAAGAAGGCCCUAGGGUUGUAAAGCACUUUCAAUUGGGAAGAAAGGUUGUUGCCGAAUACGCAGCAACUGUGACGUUACCUUUAGAAGAAGCACCGGCUAACUCCGUGCCAGCAGCCGCGGUAAUACGGAGGGUGCGAGCGUUAAUCGGAAUUACUGGGCGUAAAGCGCGCGUAGGCGGUUUGUUAAGUCGGAUGUGAAAGCCCCGGGCUCAACCUGGGAAUUGCAUACGAUACUGAUCGACUAGAGUACGAGAGAGGGAGGUAGAAUUCCACGUGUAGCGGUGAAAUGCGUAGAUAUGUGGAGGAAUACCGGUGGCGAAGGCGGCCUCCUGGCUCGAUACUGACGCUGAGGUGCGAAAGCGUGGGUAGCAAACAGGAUUAGAUACCCCCGUAGUCC